rnacentral:rRNA from 1 species
UCAGAAGUGCGAAUGCUGACAUAAGUAACGAUAAAGCGGGUGAAAAGCCCGCUCGCCGGAAGACCAAGGGUUCCUGUCCAACGUUAAUCGGGGCAGGGUGAGUCGACCCCUAAGGCGAGGCCGAAAGGCGUAGUCGAUGGGAAACAGGUUAAUAUUCCUGUACUUGGUGUUACUGCGAAGGGGGGACGGAGAAGGCUAUGUUGGCCGGGCGACGGUUGUCCCGGUUUAAGCGUGUAGGCUGGUUUUCCAGGCAAAUCCGGAAAACCAAGGCUGAGGCGUGAUGACGAGGCACUACGGUGCUGAAGCGACAAAUGCCCUGCUUCCAGGAAAAGCCUCUAAGCAUCAGGUAACAUCAAAUCGUACCCCAAACCGACACAGGUGGUCAGGUAGAGAAUACCAAGGCGCUUGAGAGAACUCGGGUGAAGGAACUAGGCAAAAUGGUGCCGUAACUUCGGGAGAAGGCACGCUGAUAUGUAGGUGAAGCGACUUGCUCGUGGAGCUGAAAUCAGUCGAAGAUACCAGCUGGCUGCAACUGUUUAUUAAAAACACAGCACUGUGCAAACACGAAAGUGGACGUAUACGGUGUGACGCCUGCCCG